AUGAAACUUUACAAGAGAGAAUGAGUAAAAGUAUAUUUUAAUUUUCAUUCUUAUUACGCAGUAUUGGAGAUUGAACGUAUGCAUGCUAGAUGAAAUUCUGUCUACUUGAAGUGACAAGUGCCCCUUUAAACCAUCUGUGGUUGUCUAAAUCCAUUCAUCUCCAGUGGGGAGCCUGUGGAUCUUCUGUGACUUUCUGUUGCUAUCUAAAUUAGUGAAAACUUUAAAACUUACUUGCUGUCUCUGUUGCACAUCAGGAAGAUACUGUAUCAACAAACAAGUCAAA
rnacentral:sRNA from 1 species